rnacentral:rRNA from 1 species
UACGAAGGGGGCUAGCGUUGCUCGGAAUUACUGGGCGUAAAGGGCGCGUAGGCGGACAGUUUAGUCAGAGGUGAAAGCCCAGGGCUCAACCUUGGAAUUGCCUUUGAUACUGGCUGUCUUGAGUUCAGGAGAGGUGAGUGGAAUGCCGAGUGUAGAGGUGAAAUUCGUAGAUAUUCGGCGGAACACCAGUGGCGAAGGCGACUCACUGGCCCGAUACUGACGCUGAGGCGCGAAAGCGUGGGGAGCAAACAGG